AGAAAAUAUUCUUUAUACAGUUGUGAAUGUUUUUGCAGCAAAUGAGAAACAGUUUCUCUCCCAAACUAUGCAGCUAUCUGAGUGUUCUGGCAGGAUAUGCUCUCUGUGGCUGUCCCUGUCUUUCUGAAGUUGUUUUAGUCCUGGAAAGCUAAGCUGGGCAGCAUGGGGCAUACCUCAGCAUGGCAGGAUUAGUGUAUAGAGUACCGUGUGUGGCAGUCUGUGCUUGGCCAAACUCCCCUCCAUGUGACAGAGCUCCACUUCAGGUUACAGAGCUCCACUCCAUGUUAAGAUAGCCAUUCCAUGUUACAGAGCUCCAUUCCAUGUUAAGAUAGCCAUUAAAUGUUACAGAGUUCCACUCCAUGUUACAGAGCUCCACUUCAUGUAAAGAGCUCCCUCUAUGUUACAGAGCUCCACUCCAUGUUACAGAGCUCCACUCCAUGUUAAGAUAGCCAUUCCAUGUUACAGAUCUCCACUUCAUGUUACAGAGCCCUCCAUAAGUUACAGAGCUCCACUCCAUGUUACAGAGCCCUCUACAUGUAACAGAGCACCAGUGCUUAUCUCCAUGUUACAAAGCAAUCUACAAAUUACAGAGCUCCCCUCAGUGCUACAGAGCCAUCUACAUAUUACAGAGCUCCCCUCAGUGCUACAGAGCCAUCUACAUAUUACAGAGCUCCCUCAGUGCUACAGAGCCAUCUACAUAUUACAGAGCUCCCCUCAGUGCUACAGCGCCAUCUACAUAUUACAGAGCUCCCCUCAGUGCUACAGCGCCAUCUACAUAUUACAGAGCUCCCCUCAGUGCUACAGAGCCAUCUACAUAUUACAGAGCUCCCCUCAAUGUUACAGAGCCAUCUACAUAUUACAGAGCUCCCCUCAAUGUUACAGAACUCCGCUACGUGUUACAGAGCUCCAUCCUUGCAGUUUACCCCCGGUCUGCCGGCUUCUCACUGAGCUGUAGUAACAUGGGCUAACUCUCUACAUCUCAUCACCAUCAGAUCUGUAUCCUAAUGAGGGGGCUAUAAUGCUCCCUUACCACAGUGUAUACCCCUACCUGCAACACUGGGUCAUCUUUAUGGAAUAUUGUGUAUUAUAUUCUCAAAUUAUUUAUGUUUAAGAUGGUGUGCAUGUAAAUAUAAAUAUCUUAUAUAAGUAGAUUUUUCUUAGUAAUUAAAAAAUAACUACUAAUUGUAAGUUUCAUGUAUAGAAGGGAUUUAUAUUUAAUAAACAAUAGCAUUUCUUGAAAACAUUGGCAAAAUUACAGCAGAAAUGAAUGUUGCUCCAACCAGGAUCACGAUAUGUCCAAUAAAAACAUUAAAAAUCUCUGAUUUAGACCUUUCAGAUUUUAUAUAUUAAAUGGAGAUGUGAUACUGACAUCCUCCGAAAUACAUUUUACAUUUUACAUCCCUCAUAAAGAUUUCGAUAAAUAUCUAAGAAUAAGCCACUAUCUUGUUACCCUAAAAUGUAUCCUCAGAGCUGACUUUAGAUAAUUCUUUAUAGAAAUUGCUACAACAGGCUCAAAAAAGGGAGAAAACCGAUAUGCCACAAUAACAUAAUAAUAGUUUCAUAUUCAACACAUCCCACCUAGAGAAAGGGUUGGGAUUUGGAGAUAGGCAGGUCAUUCAAGGAGGAAGAAUGGAGCUCCUUGGUAUGUUUCACUGCUAAUAUUUCACGUUCAACAACUUCCUUAUAAAAUAUUACCAAGGGGGAAUGUAUCCAACUCCUGCCCGUUUGUCACAUAUAUAACUCAACGUUCCAAAUACAUGUUGGCACAUGUGCGGGGAGAUUGGAACAUUAAGUCAUAUAUGGUAUAUUGUGGUCAUAUACCAUAAAGUCAUAUACCAUAAAAUCAUAUACCAGAAAGUCAUAUACCAUAAUCAUAAAAAUGAUUCUGAUCUGGAGAAUGUUAUGUGAUCUGAUGGAAUCUAAAAUAGACUCACAGAGUCCUUUCUUAAUGGGAGUAGCAAUCCUGGACAAAGUAUGCUAUGAGAAUACACGGGGACACACCCUGAGUGUUCUGAUCGCACUGUCCAAUCACAGGCAAGGUGGAGGUGGGAGGGCUGUUACUGCAUCGUGUGAGUUGACAGGCAGAGAAGGAGUGUGAAGAGCAAGGGGUGCUGGACCUGGAGAAGCUGCAGGAAGGGGACACAGUUUCUGUAAGUCCUAUAACUUUGUAUCUAUCCAUUAUGGACCCCAAGGAAGCUUCCAGCCUGCACUCACAUGACUGAUCCAGCAUUAUAAUAGGUCUGAUGGAAAGUGCAGAAUAAAUGAGAUGGCUACCUACUGCAGGACUACAAAUCCUUGAAUGCUUUGGCAGCCUUAGGACUGGCAUUGCUUCUUAGUAGUGGUAGUUCCACAACAGCUGGGGCUCUGCCCAGUCAAUAUCCCUGGUUUAGAGCCCUGUGUGCAUGGGUGAACUGAUCAUUUUAACUCAGGGUAAACGGUAAAUUCUAGGAAAUGAGAACUGAAUUGCAAGAUUUAGGUUAAAAUAAUGAAGCUGUGGCUAUAGGUGACUUGGAGACUCUGAAUCCGCUAAAUUUUGCAAUUUAGUUUUCAAUACAUUGGAGUUUGCUGUUUAUGCAAUAAUCACUUUAUGAGUCAGCUUUCAGAAACCACUUUUUUAAACGACUGGCUUUUUGUUUUGCUUUAAACGAUGGUUGUGAAUUAUUUUAACAUAUUCCUG